CGUCCGGCCCGGACCCUGUCGCCCCACGAGGCGCGGUCAACGAGUCGGGUUGUUUGGGAAUGCAGCCCAAAUCGGGCGGUAGACUCCGUCCAAGGCUAAAUACAGGCGAGAGACCGAUAGCGAACAAGUACCGCGGGGGAAAGAUGAAAAGGACUUUGAAAAGAGAGUCAAAGAGUGCUUGAAAUUGCCGGGAGGGAAGCGGAUGGGGGCCGGCGAUGCGCCCCGGCCGUAUGCGGAACGGCUC
rnacentral:ncRNA from 1 species